rnacentral:rRNA from 1 species
GACGAACGCUGGCGGCGUGCUUAACACAUGCAAGUCGAGCGGUAAGGCCCUUUGGGGUACACGAGCGGCGAACGGGUGAGUAACACGUGAGUAAUCUGCCUUUGACUUGGGAAUAACUUCGGGAAAUCGGGGCUAAUGCCUGAUGUUUACUGUCUGCUGCAUGGUGGGUGGUGGAAAGAUUUUUUGGCCAGGGAUGAGCUCGCGGUCUAUCAGCUUGUUGGUGGGGUAAUGGCUACCAAGGCUUUGACGGGUAGCCGGCCUGAGAGGGUGUUCGGCCACACUGGGACUGAGACACGGCCCAGACUCCUACGGGAGGCAGCAGUGGGGAAUCUUGCGCAAUGGGCGAAAGCCUGACGCAGCGACGCCGCGUGAGGGAUGACGGCCU